AAUGAUACAAAAUGAUACAUAUUUUCAUUCACUCACCUUCACGUGUUUAAGGUUUGUGCAUGUGUGCUGCUCGCUGCUGGUGGUUGAUGUGCUCAUACCUGGCCUCUCUGUUCAUUCAUGUUGCUGUGACUAGUGCUGCAUGAGUGUGCAUGCGUGUGCAAGGACCUGUGUGAGUCCUGCUUCCUGCUCUCUUGGUGGGCGUUGCACAGGGUGACUCUUUUUUUUUCUUCCUUUUUUUCGGAUCUGGGAACCGAACCCAGGGCCUUGCGCUUGCUAGGCAAGCGCUCUACCACUGAGCCAAAUCCCCAACCCCUGCACAGGGUGACUCUUAACACCUCUGGCAAUGCUGUCGUCUUGAAGGGGCCUGAACUGUGUCAGAUAGCACCGUGCAGUCUGUCCUCCUGUCCUGCCACAUUCAUUUACCCUCCUCUGAGCUGCGCGCAUGAUGGGACUAGGUCCUUUACUCUGUGAGAAGGUUCUCUAUCUGUAAGUCACUAUGGCAUCGAUGGAUGAUUGUGUCAGAGACUGAGGACCGGUCCAGCCGUGGGGAGCUUCACUCAGCCCACUGCGAUAGAUGGUGAGGCAGACUCCGGGCCUAGUCAGGUGUGACUCUGAAAGCCAUUGUUCCAUUCUACCUUCGAAGAAGAAGCUGGAGACAGGAGUCGGUGCUGACCCCGGGAACCCUCAAUUCAUCUGAUGGCACAUUUAAACGUGGACAUGAGCACAUGCACGUGGGCCCUGGCUGAGCCACCCAGCACUCGCCUUCUAGGCUGCAGGUUGGAGCUCAGUUGACGAGCAUCGCAUCCCGUGGGUCCUAUGGAAGCGCCCGUUUGUCAUCUGCUAAUCCACUGGGAAGAAGGGCAGUGUCUUUGUCAGUCUCGGAGCAAUUAGGAUAAUU
rnacentral:lncRNA from 1 species